rnacentral:rRNA from 1 species
AUUGAACGCUGGCGGCAGGCCUAACACAUGCAAGUCGAACGAGUGGCGGACGGGUGAGUAAUGUCUGGGAAACUGCCCGAUGGAGGGGGCUAACUACUGGAAACGGUAGCUAAUACCGCAUACCAUCGGAUGUGCCCAGAUGGGAUUAGCUAGUAGGUGGGGUAAAGGCUCACCUAGGCGACGAUCCCUAGCUGGUCUGCGAGGAUGACCAGCCAAACGGGAACUGAGACACGGUCCAAACUCCUAGGGGAGGCAGCGGUGGGGAAUAUUGGAAAAUGGGCGGCAGGCUGAUGCGACCAUGCCGCGUGUAUGAAGAAGGCCUUCGGGUUGUAAAGUACUUUCAGCGGGGAGGCGUUACCCGCAGAAGAAGCACCGGCUAACUCCGUGCCAGCAGCCGCGGUAAUAC